AGUCUAUGCACUGGUUUUGAUCAAUAUUUUAAUAUUGUGGAUAUUUUGAUCAAUAUCUAUACUGUAUAUAGUUCACAGAGGAACGCUCAAAAACAAACAAAGAGACAGUUUUUUUCAGUUGUUUGUUUACAUUCGAAAACCAGCAUGGCCGCUGCAGCAUGCAAGCCCCGCCCCUUUGUGUACCCUCAGAAGAGCUCUGCGCAUUCUAAACAGCUCCACAGACAGAAGCAGAUCAAGCACACUCCUGAAGCACUGUUUGCUGACUAUGACCGCAGUACAAUGACCAACCUGCUCUUCUACACUGAAAGCAGCUCCUUAUGGCAUACUGCUUUCUGCCAACACUUCACCUUCACCACAAAAAGAGGCAUCUGUAAAGGCCGACAGAUCCUGGUAUUUGAAGAUGCUGAAGGAAAUGAGGAAUCAAGAAUUUUAUCUCUGAACUUAUACCACAACGGCACUGUCAUGAUCCAAGGCUCGGAGCCUGCCCUCCAAGCAUUUACAGUGGACUUUAUACAAAUUAAACAGCAGGCACAUCUUAAUACAAGUUUCAUGCAGGAUCAUAAAGAUACAAAUACAAACUCUUCUCCUGUAAAAGACAUCCAAAAGACGACAACAACUGCAACAGCCUUAAUUCAAUCUCCCAUGUCAAAAAUGAAAGAGAAAUUUUCACUCCUGGAAAUAGAUAUGGUGGAACUAAAAGAAUUAAUAAUGUCCCAGCUAAAAGACAACAGCGACUUGGAGCAGCUUAAAAAGGACAUGAUGAAUUUAAAACAAGAGACUGAAAACCUGCAGAGAAACAAAGAACAGAUGUCAAAGGAGCUUCACCAAGCUAGAGAAGAGCUGAAGGAAUUCAAAUCAACUUUCAGAAGACAGAUAGCAGAAAUUAAAACAGAAAUGCAGGAAGAACUGUCUGUGUUGAAAUCAGAACUUCGAAAGAAGGAUGAACUUAUAAAUAAUAUGAAGGAACAACUUCUUCACGUGUCAUCAUCCAAAGCAUCUCACGCUAAACACCUGAGCUGUCUAGAG
rnacentral:lncRNA from 1 species